GACGAACGCUGGCGGCGUGCUUAACACAUGCAAGUCGAACGGAAAGGCCCUGCUUUUGUGGGGUGCUCGAGUGGCGAACGGGUGAGUAACACGUGAGUAACCUGCCCUUGACUUUGGGAUAACUUCAGGAAACUGGGGCUAAUAUCGGAUAGGAGCUCCUGCUGCAUGGGGGGGGUUGGAAAGUUUCGGCGGUUGGGGAUGGACUCGCGGCUUAUCAGCUUGUUGGUGGGGUAGUGGCUGACCAAGGCUGUGACGGGUAGCCGGCCUGAGAGGGUGACCGGCCACAUUGGGACUGAGAUACGGCCCAGACGCCUACGGGACGCAGCAGUGGGGAAUAUUGCACAGUGGGCGGAAGCCUGACGCAGCAACGCUGCGUGCGGGAUGACGGCUUUCGGGUUGUAAACCGCUGUCGCCGGUGACGAAGCGUGAGUGACGGUAAUGGGUAAAGAAGCACCGGCUAACUACGUG
rnacentral:rRNA from 1 species